CAGCAGACGAGUCCAGGUUGCAAUUCCACCCCCGGGUGUUAGCCUUAGGGCAGCCAGCUUGCGGCUCAGCUCGCUUAGCCACACCCACCCCUGCGUGUUUUCUGGGGUCUGACUCCCUGGAGAAGCAGACCCCAGCCUGAUGCAGCCCCCACACGACGGAGCGGCAGCCAAGUGUCCCACACACGGUGCUUCCUUCUGCAACCUGCCUCUUCGGUGCCGCCACACUGCGCUCCUGGCCGCCCCCUCGUGAACUGCAGGACUGCCAGGAAACAGGGGAAAAUAUUUCCAGAUCUGAGUAGCUGCUGGGCCGGACUCGGCAUCUAUGAAUCCUUCGUUAUGUGACCUUAGCCGCAUCCGCUAAGCUGCUGCCAGGCUAGAUUGCAGAAACGACCUCAAAGCAAAGAUGUUGGAAAAAAAAGAAUCAAGAGGUCUGAAAUUUGCCCCAUCAAGUCUUUUGAAACCAAACUGUCCACAUUUUUAAGGGUUUGACGUAAUAACAUUCCCAAGUAAGACUACAUUUUGAAAAACAAGGAUUGUUGUUGUGUGUGUGUGAGUGCUUGGUGUGUGUGUGUGGUGUGUGUGUGUAUGUGUGUGUGUGUAUAUGUGUGUGUGUGUGUGUGUGUGUGUGUGUGUGUGUGUGUAGGAAUGUGAGAGGUUCCGCAUAGUCCUUAGGAAAUCAACUUUGAGGCUGGAAAUUUGAGAUGCGUGGACAGAGCGGACCACGAGGCUGCACUUGCCCCAGUGAACUCACGUGGUGUUGAGACUGCCUGGAGUUGUCUGGAAGUUAAAUGCUAGGCUCUGGAAAGGGCUGGCCGGGAGAGCCGGCUGCUGUUACUCUAAGUGCACCGCUGGCAGCGUUCUAUUUAAAGUCCUCAUGCCUGGUACUUGAGCGCCGCUGGUUCUCCGGUGGGUGCCCUGGAACCCUGGGCUUCUUAUCCAGCAUCAGACGGCGUCACUCGUCGGCAUGCUGACCGGGAAGGAAAGACCAUUAUAGAAACAGCAGGGCCACGUCUUUUGCCUCUGCUGCCGAAACUGGUCUCGUGUGAAGACUAGAGGAUCCUACAAAGGGUGCUGGGGUUUGGGACAGAAGGGCCAGGAGACUGGAUGAAGAAUGCCCCGAUUGUCACACCAGAGAGAAAGCUGCACACGCUCACCCAGUGCCCUGCAUCUCAGCAUGCUUACCCAGAUAAACCCAGGCCUAGAGCCUUCCGAGGCCUCUGGAGAAGCAGAUCUCAAGAAAGGAAGGAGACCCCGAAGUGACCCUGAAAAUAAAGGCCUUUGUCCUCAAA